UCCAUGGACUAGACAGUCCAUGGGGUCACAAAGAGUCAGACACGACUGAGUGACUUUCACUUUCACUUUCCUCACUUCUCUUCAUGACCCCCAUGAGGACUCCAACCAAGUUUUUUUUUUUUUUUUUUUUUUAGUUAAAGACGCAGAACCUCUCAGAGUUGAAUUGCUAAGCAGCAUCUAUAGGGUAAAAGUGACAGAAAGUAUGGGUGUCCUCGCACCAGCUCGGGUCUUUCACAGCCCUGCUGUGAACCGUGGCCUCUGCAAUGGCCCAGUCGGGGAGGUAAUUCCGCUUCUCCUUUGAGCCACUUCUCUUGAGUCCGGCUGUCCUGAGUGUUUCUGUGGGGACAGCAAGUGGGGGCUUCCCCCACUGCCCUGAACUCACCCAGAGGGAUGGACUGCUUUUGAAGGACCUGGAGGGCCUAUCCCCUUCUCCUUCAUCUUGCAUCCACUGUUUAUUCCUUGUCUUUUUACGUCUAACGGUGUUCACUGGGGUCUGGAGGGCAGGGGUGCAGCGGACAGAGGCCUAAAGGGCUGUAUGCAAACACAUUCAACCCGAAUGAACCAAAGAGAGAUAAAACAAACCUUUAAAAAAAAUGAACUCCCUUAAGAGAGUCCCCGGUGGCUCGGCUCUGUAGCCCUGGCUGCUUCUCUCAAGACCACACGCUCUGCUCGGUGGGAACAGAUGGCCUGCUGGAGACUUCAGGCAAACUUCCUGCUACUCUGCUGGGACCAUGUGGCCCUCCCUAGUCUCUGCCCGCUAUGCCAGUCUGGUUUGCAGAGUCUUGAGCCUACUGGGCUCCCAGUCCAGGCUAGAAGAGACCACAAGAGCCAGAGCCAGCAGGAGGAGUCUGGACCCCCUCCCCACCCACACCCCCACCCAGGACCCCUGCUGCCAGAGGAAGAGCAUCACCUUGUUAUGCGAAGACCAGAGUCAAGAAAGGCCUGGCCCCAAACCAGCCCAGACCCAGCAGGCCCUGCAGUGGUGGAAAAUGCCUUUCCCCCAGCUACCACCCACACAGAAUAGGCCAAUUCACCUGAAGAAACACCAGAACUACCCAGUUCCAAAUGCCCUGAAUGGCCAGGGCAUGAAGAGACUGAAUGGCCAGCUGGGCUCAUGCGCACCUAGGCAGAGGUGUCUUGCUGAACCACAGGUAGUGACCCAGGACCAAUGUGGAGGAGGGGAUGGAACAGCUGGAGGCAGACAGAUGGCUGUGGCUAAGGGGCUUUGGAGGAUGCUCCAAAAACACGUCCAACCUGAGAUGCCAUCUUACAUCGAGGGAUGCGGGAAGAGAGCCGAUGAGCUGAGGCGUGGACACACCGAGCAGGAGCAGCUGAUGUGACUUUGAGUGUGGCGUCUGCGGGAGCCCGGAGUCUCGCGCUCUGGAGAGGUCCAGCUGGAGGUGUGCUUCUGGGAGCAUCAGCCUCCGGGAGAAAAAGUUUGCCGCCCUCUGCUGUAGACAGUGUUUCACCACUGAGCAAGAAGAACAAGAGGAUCAGAGACCCGGCCGCCGCAGGGUUUGUCAUAGUUUUCCUUCCAAGGAGCAAGUAUCUUUUGAUUUCAUGGCUAAAUGAGAAAGAUGCAAGAGAAAGAUGUAGACAUCAGCAAAAAAGAUGUCACCAAGUCACAAAUAUCAUGUGGAGAAGGGCAAGAAAGAAGAGAGAGGCACAAGGACCACGAUAUUUUGCUCCUAAACUGAAAUAACUGUUUCUGUUUCAUUGAAAAAAAAAAUACUAAACUUUGGCUGCUGGAA